AUUGAACGCUGGCGGCAGGCUUAACACAUGCAAGUCGAGCGGGGGGAGGUAGCUUGCUACCGGACCUAGCGGCGGACGGGUGAGUAAUGCUUAGGAAUCUGCCUAUUAGUGGGGGACAACAUCUCGAAAGGGAUGCUAAUACCGCAUACGUCCUACGGGAGAAAGCAGGGGAUCUUCGGACCUUGCGCUAAUAGAUGAGCCUAAGUCGGAUUAGCUAGUUGGUGGGGUAAAGGCCUACCAAGGCGACGAUCUGUAGCGGGUCUGAGAGGAUGAUCCGCCACACUGGGACUGAGACACGGCCCAGACUCCUACGGGAGGCAGCAGUGGGGAAUAGUGGACAAUGGGGGGGACCCUGAUCCAGCCAUGCCGCGUGUGUGAAGAAGGCCUUAUGGUUGUAAAGCACUUUAAGCGAGGAGGAGGCUACUUUAGUUAAUACCUAGAGAUAGUGGACGUUACUCGCAGAAUAAGCACCGGCUAACUCUGUGCCAGCCGCCGCCGUAA
rnacentral:rRNA from 1 species